rnacentral:rRNA from 1 species
ACGAUGCGUAGGGGUUCUGAGAGGAAGGUCCCCCACACUGGUACUGAGACACGGACCAGACUCCUACGGGAGGCAGCAGUGAGGAAUAUUGGUCAAUGGGCGGGAGCCUGAACCAGCCAAGUCGCGUGAGGGAUGACGGCCCUAUGGGUUGUAAACCUCUUUUGCCGGGGAGCAAAGUGCCGCACGUGUGCGGUUUGGAGAGUACCCGGAGAAAAAGCAUCGGCUAACUCCGUGCCAGCAGCCGCGGUAAUACGGAGGAUGCGAGCGUUAUCCGGAUUUAUUGGGUUUAAAGGGUGCGUAGGCGGACGCUUAAGUCAGCGGUAAAAUUGCGGGGCUCAACCUCGUCGAGCCGUUGAAACUGGGUGCCUUGAGUGGGCGAGAAGUACGCGGAAUGCGUGGUGUAGCGGUGAAAUGCAUAGAUAUCACGCAGAACUCCGAUUGCGAAGGCAGCGUACCGGCGCCCAACUGACGCUGAAGCACGAAGGCGUGGGUAUCGAACAGGAUUAGAUACCCUGGUAGUCCACGCAGUAA